CCUACGGGUGGCAGCAGUGGGGAAUAUUGGACAAUGGGGGCAACCCUGAUCCAGCCAUGCCGCGUGUGUGAAGAAGGCCCUCGGGUUGUAAAGCACUUUCAGUGAGGAAGAACGCCUGGUGGUUAAUACCCAUCAGGAAAGACAUCACUCACAGAAGAAGCACCGGCUAACUCCGUGCCAGCAGCCGCGGUAAUACGGAGGGUGCGAGCGUUAAUCGGAAUUACUGGGCGUAAAGCGCGCGUAGGUGGCUUGAUAAGCCGGUUGUGAAAGCCCCGGGCUCAACCUGGGAACGGCAUCCGGAACUGUCAAGGUAGAGUGCAGGAGAGGAAGGUAGAAUUCCCGGUGUAGCGGUGAAAUGCGUAGAGAUCGGGAGGAAUACCAGUGGCGAAGGCGGCCUUCUGGACUGACACUGACACUGAGGUGCGAAAGCGUGGGUAGCAAACAGGAUUAGAUACCCGAUAGUC
rnacentral:rRNA from 1 species